CAAUAGCGUAUAUUAAAGUUGUUGCGGUUAAAAAAGCUCGUAGUUGGAUUUCUGCCGAGGACGACCGGUCCGCCCUCUGGGUGAGUAUCUGGUUCGGCCUGGGCAUCUUCUUGGAGAACGUAUCUGCACUUGACUGUGUGGUGCGGUAUCCAGGACUUUUACUUUGAGGAAAUUAGAGUGUUUCAAGCAGGCACACGCCUUGAAUACAUUAGCAUGGAAUAAUAAUAUAGGAUCUCGAUUCUAUUUUGUUGGUUUCAGGAGUUGAGGUAAUGAUUAAUAGGGACAAUUGGGGGCACUCGUAUGAAGACGUCAGAGGUGGAAUUCUUGGAUUGUCUUCCGACGAACUACUGCGAAAGCACUUGCCAAGGAUGUUUUCAUUGAUCAAGAACGAAAGUAAGGGGAUCGAAGAUGAUCAGAUACCAU
rnacentral:rRNA from 1 species